rnacentral:rRNA from 1 species
GAUCAUGGCUCAGGAUGAACGCUAGCUACGGGCUUAACACAUGCAAGUCGAGGGGAAACGAUAUUGGAAGCUUGCUUCCGAUAGGCGUCGACCGGCGCACGGGUGAGUAACGCGUAUCCAACCUGCCCACCACUCGGGGAUAACCUUGCGAAAGUAAGACUAAUACCCAAUGAUAUCUCUAGAAGACAUCUGAAAGAGAUUAAAGAUUUAUCGGUGAUGGAUGGGGAUGCGUCUGAUUAG